GCUGUCUUGCUUGAUCCUUCUUUGUGAUUCGUUUGUGUUUUAGCUUUUAUUUUCGGAACUUUAUUAACUACAAACUUGGCUAUUCAAACGGACUCUGAUUGAUUGCAAUAACGACAUACUCAGCCUGGGAUUUACUGUUUUUGUGUGGCUCGGCCAAGGCUCGGCUGGUGGUUCUAUGGUGUUAGAAAAUGAGCAACUUAAUUAUACACAACAAUGGGCAGCACCUCGAUCGGUUACAGCUCAUGAUCUUAUAUGCACAACAUGUUGGACCCAAGCCCAAGAUACAACACAAAUGCAUCUACUUCAAAUCUUAGCAGAAAAUGUGUGCUUUGCAGUAGAACACUAGAGCCUAGAACACGUUCACAUCAGCUCAUGUCCCUGAGAACUAACACUCAACAUCAUAUUAACAUCAGGAACAUAAUUGUGGAACGACUAACUCCAUUAGAGGUUACUGCAAAUGACUACAUCUGUGGGGCUUGUCACUCAUUAUUGCAAAGAGAUACCACACCUACUUCACAAGACUCUCCAGAUAUGCCAACCGGUGCCCCGGUAGGUCACCAACAAGUUUGUGUUGGAUGUGGUUGUUCAUUAUUGCGAACUUGAAGUCAUUGUUUGGAUACAGAGAAUAAUCAAGAUAUAUUAAACAUUGUUCGAAAUUGGAUUCAACCCAGAGAGAUUCGUCCUUCAGAUCUUCUUUGCCAUAGAUACUAUCAGAGAGCACGAAUUACUACAGUUGGUGCUUAUUUAAUGAAGCUGAGGACCGGUGAUUCAGAUGACAGAAUAGCUACAUUACUUGGCAUUUCAAGGAGUACUCUUACAAAAUAAGUAAU